rnacentral:rRNA from 1 species
CCUACGGGAGGCAGCAGUGGGGAAUAUUGCACAAUGGGCGAAAGCCUGAUGCAGCGACGCCGCGUGAGGGAUGACGGCCUUCGGGUUGUAAACCUCUUUCAGCAGGGAAGAAGCGAAAGUGACGGUACCUGCAGAAGAAGCGCCGGCUAACUACGUGCCAGCAGCCGCGGUAAUACGUAGGGCGCAAGCGUUGUCCGGAAUUAUUGGGCGUAAAGAGCUCGUAGGCGGCUUGUCACGUCGGGUGUGAAAGCCCGGGGCUUAACCCCGGGUCUGCAUUCGAUACGGGCUAGCUAGAGUGUGGUAGGGGAGAUCGGAAUUCCUGGUGUAGCGGUGAAAUGCGCAGAUAUCAGGAGGAACACCGGUGGCGAAGGCGGAUCUCUGGGCCAUUACUGACGCUGAGGAGCGAAAGCGUGGGGAGCGAACAGGAUUAGAUACCCUGGUAGUCCACGCCGUAAACGGUGGGAACUAGGUGUUGGCGACAUUCCACGUCGUCGGUGCCGCAGCUAACGCAUUAAGUUCCCCGCCUGGGGAGUACGGCCGCAAGGCUAAACCUUAAAUGAAUUGACG